CCUACGGGAUGCAGCAGUGGGGGAUAUUGCACAAUGGGGGGAACCCUGAUGCAGCGACGCCGCGUGGGUGAAGGAGCGUUUCGGCGCGUAAAGCUCUAUCAGCAGGGAAGAAAAUGACGGUACCUGAGUAAGAAGCCCCGGCUAACUACGUGCCAGCAGCCGCGGGAAUACGUAGGGGGCAAGCGUUAUCCGGCUUUACUGGGUGUAAAGGGAGCGUAGACGGCAGUGCAAGUCUGGAGUGAAAGGCGGGGGCUCAACCCCCGGACUGCUCUGGAAACUGUACGGCUGGAGUGCAGGAGAGGUAAGUGGAAUUCCUAGUGUAGCGGUGAAAUGUGUAGAUAUUAGGAGGAACACCAGUGGCGAAGGCGGCUUACUGGACUGUAACUGACGUUGAGGCUCGAAAGCGUGGGGAGCAAACAGGAUUAGAUACCCCUGUAGUC
rnacentral:rRNA from 1 species